rnacentral:misc_RNA from 1 species
AGCGAAGUUAAGGCAUCCGGGCAAAGACUUCGCCUUAACUUUAAUCUCCCGCUUAGGAAUAACCGAGGCAUAGCAGCGGGGGGCUGAAGCCUCAAUGUACGGUAAUUUAAUUAAUCUUAAGGACUGAAGUAUAUCUACAUUAAGGUAAACAUAAUCUAGAGAUGCCAUAUAUAUUAGUUAUGAAGGGAAAAGAAAUAGGGGGGUAGAAAAAUAUAACGGUAUAUUAUAAGAAAACCUUAAAAACUAACAAGGAAAAACACGAAAACCAAGAGAAAGAUUUCUAAAAUUAAAAGGAGGGUAAAAUAUCAAUUAAUAGGAAAACUUUAAAUACUAAUUAUGACGCUAAAAGGUAAAUAAAUACGCAGAAAACUAUACCUAAAGGAAAAACAGCAGUAAUAAUAUGUUAAUAAUAGGAGACAAUAAAAGAACCAAAAUAAAAUUAUCAAAAAUAUUUUCCUUUUAG